GUUCUCGUAUUUUUGCCCAGGUAUAAAACCAAUUAUUUCUGGACAUCUGCAGAGAACACCCCACAACCAUGAAGAAAUGAGGAUACAGGCCUGAAAACCACUUCCCUCUCAUAGAAAGGAAUCUCUAAGAGGUACUUUUCCUGCCAUCCUGGAUUUCCAAGUGUCUUCUAGCCACAACCAUCGCUUUGAGCUAAAUAAAGCAACUGAGCACUGAAGCCCAGACACUUCUCAAAGAGAAGGAAUUAAAAGACUCCACGUCUCACUUCUCCAGACAGCAGAGUGCACUCACGGCUGGAAGGACCAGGAAACAAAGGAACAGGUCCCCUACCUUUGUUAUGGGCCCCUUGUGAGGAGGGAUCACAGCGAAGUCCUGUUUCUUAAUGCCAAAGCUAUUUUUGUUCUUAUAUUAGGCACUUAAUGAAUAAUCAUGCAAAGACUUUAUUCACAUGACACCUACACAGUGCAUGUCUCCCUGCUCCUCCUUUUGGAAACUCAGUUUCCCUUCAAGAUUUAAACAAAACGUGGACCACAUCCCAACACAUAUAAAUUUUUUCUCUUCUACAGAACACACUGAAGCCCUCACCUCUCUCCCAAGCCUGUGAUUUUCCACUCAAGAGCCAUGCUGCCUUCUCCUCUCCGAGCAGCAUUAGGAGCUGACCGCAAGGAUCUGCAGUGGGAUCCCUAAUCUCCUGCUAAGAAGCUUUUGCACUUAAACCCUUGAUGCCAUCAUUAGUGGUUUCGGCACUGGCGACAUCACAGCCAGACUGCGCUCGAUGAUGAGGGCAAAGCUAAGCACAUCAGGUACACGGUUAAUUCAAUGGGCAAAGAUCAGGGGGUGAUACUAUUUUUUAUUUUUUCCCCAAUGAGGCUUAUUUACUAUUAAUUCCCAUCCCUGUGACCUUAUUUAAGUACAGCAUGUUCCACCCGAGAUUGUUUGUAAAGUUAACGCCCAAGUCGCAUUGCUACGCCUUGAGGAGACCUGUUCUCCCAGCCCUCAGGUUUUAUGGGGAAGGUUCUCCUUCUGCAUCCAUGCCUCUGGCAGAGCCAGAAACAUCCUCUUUGGGGAAAAAAAAACCAAAACAAAAACCAACAAAUCACUGUAUUUGCAAGUCCAAAGGGACCCGGUGUCUAGGCUUUAAUUGGAACACGUAUGGCUGAGCACAGGCAGUGGCUGGAUUUUUCCUUUGAUCACUUCAAUGACUGGUAUUUUUUCAAGAAGCAUUCAAUACAGCCUUCCUCUUCUGCUAUUCAUCCCUCCAUGUACAUAUUUAUCAGAAAUUAUUAAACUGUCCUUUAUUGCAAAGGUCUGUGUGACAGGGAUGCUCUCCCCCACCUCUGGUGCCUGCGGUGCCUGUGUCUCCAUCUGAGCUGUCUGACUCCACCACGACUGCAGAUAAGCACUUCCAGACUACCAUCCUCUCAUCUAUUUUAGCCAUGAUUCACAUCCGAGCUGUGUGUCUCCCAAAGAAAGGCGAAUCUGGACCGCUCGUGCAGAGGGAGGCAGCCACCACAGCCCACGGCACCACACGUUUCCCUGUUUUCCUUGGCUUUCUCGGGGCUGGUUUCCCCUUGCUCUCCCAGCGUGCAGCAGGAAGAGAACACAUUUCUCUUCCUGCCUCCAGGAUCCCUCAGACUAAGCCUGGCUUCUGAGCAGUAACACGGGCAGCUUCAACUUCCCUGACCUCAGCUAAUUCUUUCCUUCCCUCAGCCUACUCAAGAUGAUUAAGCAAAAUACUUGGAAGGAAAUCAAAGCCUUAAAAAUGCAAUUAGAAGUGACCAUUUUGUUAAUACGCACACACACAACCCCAAAGUCAAACCCAAUCCAACAGCACCUGACCUUUGGGAAAAGAGCAAUUUUUAGCAGCUCCCACGGACUUAAGGAACAGCCCAAAGUCUCCCACAACGCUGGUGGGAGCAGUGCUGUCCACAUAGCUCAGGUUUUCCCACUAUUCCUAAAAAAGGAGGUUAGGAAGACAUGAAAUUGCAAAUUCUCACACCAGACACUGGCUCCCCCACACCUACAGCUGCCCAGGGGUGACUUAAAAAAUAUAAUUUUUAACACACAUCCUUCCACACACCCAGAUCUUUCUCCCCCAGCUGAGGAAAAGGCAAGUUCACUGGAGGGUCUGGAAUCAGCUGCCACAAAUCCUCAUAUUCUCCAGCAAAGAUUCUAAUCUCAUUGCAAGAAACCUUUAAAGCACUGAAAUAACAAUAAUCUCUUUAACAACAAUAAAGUCAUUUGAAAUCAUCACAAUAGUUAUCACAGUAAUAAAACAGAAAUAUUUUUCUAGAGCAAUUUUCGCUUCACCCAUCCACAACGUAAUAUAUUUUUAAGACUCCUUUCCUGAAAUUAAUUUGAAAAAAGAUUUUUUUUUCCUCUGCUUGUAAAGAAUCAAAUGCACUUUGAGAAAGCAGCAGUUGAGUUUCUGGGCCCUGACACAGAAACAAAGGCUGACAGCCCAGAUUUAGAUAAACACCUACUUCUGCACAUUUAGGAAGAGGCUUAAUUGCUUUGUCAUUUAGAGCCAGCAAUUACCAACUAUUACUGGGAGUGCGGGUGGUGGGGGGUAUUAAUUGCAGUCAAAUGUCCACUCUUUUUGGGCAGCUCAUGCCAAGAAAAUUUAAUACUAAAUAAAAAAAGAUAAAUUAAAACCUGUCUUCAUGAUAACAUUUUAAAGUAUUUUAUUGUCUAUUUAUAUAGGGGAGGGGGUGGAUGGGUUCUCCCAGAGGGGCCAACAAAGACAGAAUUUCUAUUUCAUUUUGAAACUGUGUCAAAUCACGGUAGAGCUGGUAUUAGGAUGUUGGGGCAGGCUACAAAAUCGCCCUUUUGGGGGAUUUUUGGGGCUGAUUCCUCCAGCGAGGAAACCAGUGCUUAACUUCUAGAGCAAACAGAGCAUUUAAGGUUUAAAACAAAUAAAUAAACAACCUAAAAUAGGUUGAGAGGGUAGUUUACCCCCCUCAGAGCCGGCUCUGACAGGCGCUGCUACUUCAUUCUCUGCGCUGUGUGAGGGGAAAACCUUCACUCAGGAGCGAGAGCUGCUCCAGUGCUAAGGUGGGGGAGGGAUUCUAUAUAUGUUUUUUCAUUUAAAAGGCUUUUUUUUUUUUUUUGGUGGCAAUGGCGGUGUUUAUCCGCGGGGCUCGGGCGGCCCCGCCCCGGGGGCGGCGCGGCAGCCCCGGCCGGCUCCCGCCGGCUCAGACCGGUUCUCAGCGCAAACAACCGCCCCCCGCCCGCCGGGGCACCGCGGCGGCGGGCCCCCGCUUAUUCCUUCAGAAACACCCGCUUUCACCCCACAAAACACCCGCUUCUCCCUCAGAAACACCCGCUUUUCCCUCAGAAACACCCGCUCUCCCCACCCCCCCGAAACAGCCGGGUGAGGCGACUCCGCGGCCGCGCCGCCAUUACAGCGGCGGGCGCGCUCCGCCGGCUGUGAGGCGAGAGAAAGCGGCGGGGUUUCGGAGCGAGCUAAAAGUCUUAUUAUGCAACGCACAUUUUUAAUAGAUUAUUGCCGAGUCCAGGGCUGAGGUAAUGCGGGCUGUCAGCAGCUGGGGCGAGAGGCUGAGGGACAAGCGGGCUGCGGCCGCUCCCUGCAAGGGCGCCAAGGCACCAUUUCUUCGCCAUCCGUGAGGAGAACUUUGAUAUAUCACGUUAUUUUUUUUCCACAGAAGGAUCUUUUUAUGUGGUUACACAUGCACAGGUCUUGAAAACCACAAGCAAGGAAAACCAAACUUCUCCUUCACCACCUUUCUGCUUUUUCUCAGUUCCUGAAGGACUGUGAAGUGCCCAGCAUGAAGUUCCCAGCAGUGCUGAACACCCUGUGUGCCCCAAACACCCCCAGGGAACACAACUCUGCCAGCUGAGACCAACAGGACAAGACUUGAGUGACCAAGUUCUUAAAUUUCAGAAGAAUGCAGGUGUCAUAAAGACCUUAAUAAUACUAUGGCCCCUCAAAAUUGGCCAUUUCCACUUAUAAAAAAGCCUUAAGAGAAUCUCCAGCUUGCUAAAAUCCUCAAGACCACGGAAACUGCAGGCAAUAAUUAUUCUCCAGACAAAAGAAACUGGAUCUAUCACACAGCAAGUGGGAGCACCAAACCAGGGAAAAGGGGGUGAGGCAGCUUUCGCUCACCAGCGUAUGAGUGGCUUAAUACUUACAUGGCUAAAUUUCAACUGAUUUGAAAAUUAAACACUUGUGCUUUGAAAGACUUCAAGGCAAGUGGGGUUUUGCUUCCCAAAGUAAAGCGAGGGUUAAAUGUUUAUUAUUAUCUAACUGAUUGCUAAGAAACACUAAAACUCUUUUCUGAUCCUUCAAAAUUAAAUAUACAAUCCACCAGAUUCUAUUACUUGCUCGACUGAGUUUGAUUUUAUUGUAUUAAUAAGAAAAAAAUGUUUUAUUUCCUCCCAGAGUAUCGUCUACUUUUCCAUUACUACAACUAGAAAUUGCCAAGAAAAUGAAAUGCUCAAGCACAGCAGACACUGCUUUUCUUCUCAUUAAAUCUUAAAACUUGGUUCCAGUGGGAUCAUAUUUAGUCCUCUCAAAUUCAGAACAGGAUUUCAUCCUGCCUCGACAUCCCAACAAUGACAUUUUAUAAAUAUUACGAGUUUCUUGGACGCCUUUCUCAUUCCACAAGGAGCAGAGGAGCACCAGCAGAGAUUUCUUCUUCUUCCCCUGCUCAAGAUUUUUUAUUAAACCUUAAAUGUAACCAGCCCUCCUUUCAAUCCAUUUUCUCUAGGAUUUUUUUGAGACCUCUAGAAGUCUCACAGAUUUUUCUGAGCUGUAAUAAGUGUGAAAAAUCUUUGACAAAGGAUUGUCUUUAUUCAAGCAUUAAGCUCUCAUUGAGAGAGGUGUUGGAAAUAAACAAGUGCUUAAAAGCAGCCUAAAAGUUGUCUUAAAUCUUCACCUGCUCUCCAGCUGAGACAGGACCUGGAUUUCUAAAUCCAAGAGGAGAAAACAAUAAUUAAAAGAAGUAAAUAAAUCCUUGCAUGACUCUUUAGACAUGAGGGGGUGGGGCAAUCAGAAGAGGAGACACUGAUUUCCCCAUCUUCUGUACACUCUCCGUGGGUGUCAGCCCAUCUCACCCUUCCAGAAGGUUCAACAUUCAAGGUAUUCUGUAAAGCCAUGCAAACACAGAGCUACUGCAGAACCAAGGAAAUGCAUCCCCAGGAAUUGCAAACUUGGAUUAUUUUCUUUUAAUUUUUCCAAGUCUACGAAUUUUGCUGUGAGGCAGCAGGGUGAGAAAUGAGAAGGCGAUAAAUCAACCUUGUGAAUGUCAGCAGUGUCAGAGAGCAAGAAGAACCAGAACAAUACCACUCAUCGUUUCCCAAAGUAUGUUGAAGUGUGGUCUGUAAAAAGCAGCUGACCUUAAAAUCUUUUUCUCUCACUGAAGUAAAUAAGUGACCCCAUUCUCCAGGCACACAGGCAGCAAGGCCUUGUGUCUGUACAUCCCUGCUCUGCCCAGCCACCAUCUUACAUAUGGAUCCACCAUGGCAAACAACGAACAGCACCAGCGUUCCCCUCGGAACCCUUGGUGCCAACUGAGCCUUCUGACAUUUCACCGCAGUUCACUUCUACCUCAGCGACCAAAGCUUCGCCAGGGAACAACUCAGGCUCACACCUCACGAACCGACCGGCACAGCCCCC